UCCUGGCAGAGUGGAGACCACCGGCAGGCAACAGAUUGGUUUUGUCAUUGUGGAAAUUACAAACACGACUCCAUCAAAAGGGAGUGACUACCAUGUUUUUCAUAUGAAAAAUAUGAAAGGAAAUGAGGCUGACGUAUAGCAUCUCUGUGUCUCCUGGCCUUUCUCAGGUAUGCCCCUGGGAUGGAGGUCACCUAUUCAUGGACCAUACUUC
rnacentral:lncRNA from 1 species